rnacentral:rRNA from 1 species
GUCUACGGCCAUGCCACCCUGAACAAGCCCAAUCCCGUCUGAUCUCAGAAGCUAAGCGGGGUCAGUCCUGGUUAGUAGUUGGAUGGGAGACCACCUAGGAAGACCAGGUGCUGUAGGCA